rnacentral:misc_RNA from 1 species
CUGAACAUUUUUAUCACCAACAACAUGGAGAGAGCUCCAGACAAGAUGUAAGCAAAUUCCACAUCCGCAAAACACGAGAGAAUCAGUGACGCGUUUUAAAAUAUCACUAGUGCAGAUUUAUAAGUUGGCGAUUUGUAAGCCAUUAAAUUUGUAGCAUUAGAACGGACAAUAUCACUGUUAGGCCGGACCAACCAUCUUCUUGGGUCUCCAUCAACCUCACUAUGGCACACCUUAAAGGCACAAUCUUUGCAGAUGAACAAUGAGAAUUAGUACAAUAAUGGUGUUGGAAAGUUAAAUUGUUAAAUUGGUUUUUGGAGGCGGGGAUGGAAUGGAAGUAGCCUUUCGAGUUUGGUU